CCUGUAGAUGAUGAGGAUCUGGUUUUACUGAUUCUUAAUGGAUUGCCUGAUGAGUACAAUGCAUUUAAAACUUCCAUCAAAACUCAAUCUAAAUUCAUUUCUGUUGGAGAGUUAUGUUCUUUAUUAAACUUCGACU